ACAGUGCCCUAAUGCAUGGCCAGGUUAACCACUGAGGAGGGGCCGCCCAGGAGGAAGUAAGAUCUGGAAGCUGACCAGUCGACAAACUAAAGCUGGAUGGUAAGAGGCAUUCCUGGGAAGUUUUGUUCUUUCUACCCGAAGAA
rnacentral:lncRNA from 1 species